rnacentral:rRNA from 1 species
CUUGCUCCACCGGAAAAAGAAGAGUGGCGAACGGGUGAGUAACACGUGGGUAACCUGCCCAUCAGAAGGGGAUAACACUUGGAAACAGGUGCUAAUACCGUAUAACAAUCGAAACCGCAUGGUUUUGAUUUGAAAGGCGCUUUCGGGUGUCGCUGAUGGAUGGACCCGCGGUGCAUUAGCUAGUUGGUGAGGUAACGGCUCACCAAGGCCACGAUGCAUAGCCGACCUGAGAGGGUGAUCGGCCACAUUGGGACUGAGACACGGCCCAAACUCCUACGGGAGGCAGCAGUAGGGAAUCUUCGGCAAUGGACGAAAGUCUGACCGAGCAACGCCGCGUGAGUGAAGAAGGUUUUCGGAUCGUAAAACUCUGUUGUUAGAGAAGAACAAGGAUGAGAGUAACUGUUCAUCCCUUGACGGUAUCUAACCAGAAAGCCACGGCUAACUACGUGCCAGCAGCCGCGGUAAUACGUAGGUGGCAAGCGUUGUCCGGAUUUAUUGGGCGUAAAGCGAGCGCAGGCGGUUUCUUAAGUCUGAUGUGAAAGCCCCCGGCUCAACCGGGGAGGGUCAUUGGAAACUGGGAGACUUGAGUGCAGAAGAGGAGAGUGGAAUUCCAUGUGUAGCGGUGAAAUGCGUAGAUAUAUGGAGGAACACCAGUGGCGAAGGCGGCUCUCUGGUCUGUAACUGACGCUGAGGCUCGAAAGCGUGGGGAGCAAACAGGAUUAGAUACCCUGGUAGUCCACGCCGUAAACGAUGAGUGCUAAGUGUUGGAGGGUUUCCGCCCUUCAGUGCUGCAGCUAACGCAUUAAGCACUCCGCCUGGGGAGUACGACCGCAAGGUUGAAACUCAAAGGAAUUGACGGGGGCCCGCACAAGCGGUGGAGCAUGUGGUUUAAUUCGAAGCAACGCGAAGAACCUUACCAGGUCUUGACAUCC